rnacentral:rRNA from 1 species
AUGAACGCUGGCGGCGUGCCUAAUCCAUGCCAGUCGAGCGAACAGAUGAGGAGCUUGCUCCUCUGACGUUAGCGGCGGACGGGUGAGUAACACGUGGAUAACCUACCUAUAAGACUGGGAUAACUUCGGGAAACCGGAGCUAAUACCGGAUAAUAUAUUGAACCGCAUGGUUCAAUAGUGAAAGACGGUUUUGCUGUCACUUAUAGAUGGAUCCGCGCCGCAUUAGCUAGUUGGUAAGGUAACGGCUUACCAAGGCAACGAUGCGUAGCCGACCUGAGAGGGUGAUCGGCCACACUGGAACUGAGACACGGUCCAGACUCCUACGGGAGGCAGCAGUAGGGAAUCGGCCGCAAUGGGCGAAAGCCUGACGGAGCAACGCCGCGUGAGUGAUGAAGGUCUUCGGAUCGUAAAACUCUGUUAUUAGGGAAGAACAAAUGUGUAAGUAACUAUGCACGUCUUGACGGUACCUAAUCGGAAAGCCACGGCUAACUACGUG